CCUACGGGAGACAGCAGUGAGGAAUAUUGGUCAAUGGGCGCGAGCCUGAACCAGCCAAGUAGCGUGAAGGAUGACUGCCCUACGGGUUGUAAACUUCUUUUAUCAAGGAAUAAAGUGAGGCACGUGUGCCUUUUUGUAUGUACUUUAUGAAUAAGGAUCGGCUAACUCCGGGCCAGCAGCCGCGGUAAUACGGAGGAUCCGAGCGUUAUCCGGAUUUUUUGGGGUUAAAGGGAGCGGAGAUGGGUUGUUAAGUCAGUUGUGAAAGUUUGCGGCUCAACCGUAAAAUUGCAAUUGAUACUGGCAGUCUUGAGUGCAGGUGAGGUAGGCGGAAUGCGUGGUGUAGCGGUGAAAUGCUUAGAUAUCACGAAGAACUCCGAUUGCGAAGGCAGCUUACUAAACUGCCACUGACAUUGAUGCUCGAAAGUGUGGGUAUCAAACAGGAUUAGAUACCCGAGUAGUC
rnacentral:rRNA from 1 species